GACUCCAAUCUCAGCCUCUCCUCCCCUCCGCCACCCACGACCGCGUGCACAGUGCUGCGCACCUCUGCGUAGACGUGCUCUGCAGCGGACACUGGCUCCAUCGGGCUACCUGCGGGUUGACAGGGAGGCGACUUUAAAAGGAAGCCUUGUGCGUGCGUCUGUGCCUGCCCGAGGGCCGUGUGUCGUGAUCAGAGACCCCUCCCUCUCCCCCCACCGUCACCGCCCGGCGAUACUCGACUCGCCAACACGGCUGCAGCACAGGACAUCGUCACCCUUCCUCCCUUCUUCCCACAUACGUCGGCACGAAAGCUCAACUGCUCACGCACCAUCGCCUUCCAUGAGGGCUUCCGCUCGGAUUCGUGCUGCCGUCGCAGCAGCGACACCAUCACCGUCGAAAGCACGCCUCACAACUAACAUUGUCGGCGGCAUGGGCAACCAGCUUUUCCUCGUUGCAAAUCUGUUAGCCACUGCGCACCGGACUGGCAUCCCAGCCUACCUGGAGGCGGCGCCGUUCAGCAGCAGCGCCGAGGGCCCACGUCCCACCUACUGGGACACACUUUUUCGCGACCUCGGUCGUCACGGCGUACAGAUGUGUGCGUCCUCGCCGCCGCUGCCUGUCGUGACGGUGCCCGAGACGCGACCCGUGCGGAAGGUGCAACUCGAUGCGCAGCGGCCCUGCGCCUUCCACAUGAUCGGCUUCUUCCAAAGUGAUGCCUUCUUCGACGACCACCCGAUCAUGUCCUCCGUCAUCCCGCGGGAGCUGUGGGACUCGGCCCGCGAGCACCUGGCCACCUACUACGGCGGCGGGUCGUGCCACACUGUCGCCCUGCACGUGCGGCGUGGCGACUACACACGUUUUACCGACAUCUUCGAGCAGCUCGACGUCGUCGAGUACUACGAUGUGGCAGUGCGGCAGCUGCUUGGUGGCCUGCUCUUGCAGCCGCCUUCGCUGCUGCGGCCGCAGCAGUCAUCGGUGGACUCGGCCCAAGCGCCGACUGCAGGCACACCGCCGCUGCUGCCGCUUCACUUGCUUGUCUUCUGCGACGAGGAGCGCUUUGGGCGCACCGUUGUGGGGUACUUCCGCACCAAGUACAAGGGUGCCGUGAUGGCCAGCCUCGUGUGCGCCGCGACGGAGGCAAGCGCGAUAUGGGCGAGGCCAACCGCGUCGUCGCCGUCAGUGCCGAUAAUGCCGCGUGAUGUACUGGAGUUGCUGAUGAUGUCGCAGUGCAACGACGUCGUGAUGGCAAACUCGACCUUCUCGUGGUGGGGCGCCUACCUGAACCGCGUCUCACUGCGCCGUGUCAUCGCACCGUCCCGGUGGUUCGUGAAGGAUCCGUACCCGGCGUCAAAUCACCUCUACUGCCCUGGAUGGAUACUCAUCUGAUCGAAGUGAACCGAGGGAGGGUGGUGGUGGAGGCACGGAGAGUCGGUGCACGGAUGAGGCAUCUCUCUUUCCUCGUUGCCAUCCUCACGGUACCGCUCGCCAGAUGGGAGAGGCCAGCGGCAGGAUACAACCUGCGCGUUUUGCUUGCUCGUCUCUUGUCUGGGUGUCUCUCAUGGGAGUGGCAUCCAGCCGAGGAUGUGCGUCGUCUUUAUCCUCUUCUGCCCACCGGAAGAGGGAGCUCAGCUGCGUCAUG
rnacentral:misc_RNA from 1 species